GCAUCUUAAAAAUUUUUAAACUUCCAACAUUAAAGACAUUUGAUAGUCAAUUAGGUACCAAUUUUUGGGCGUUACGAGGUUGCUAACCCUUCCUCGUUCAUAACUGAUUCCCGAACCUGUUUUCUUGAUUUCAUAGUCCAAAACUAAUGAUUUUAAAACAAAAUGUUUUAGAGGUAAUCCAAUCACACCUAAAAAGAUUGGUGGCGAC
rnacentral:lncRNA from 1 species